rnacentral:rRNA from 1 species
CGCACGGCGCACGGGUGCGUAACACGUGGGUAAUCUGCCCUUCGAAGGGGAAUAACUCGCCGAAAGGCGAGCUAAUUCCGCAUAACAUUCCGAGAACCUUGGUUUUUGGAUUCAAAGGCGUAAGUCGUCGGAGGAGGAGCCCGCGCACGAUUAGCUAGUUGGUAGGGUAACGGCCUACCAAGGCUAUGAUCGUUAGCUGGUCUGAGAGGAUGGCCAGCCACACUGGAACUGAGACACGGUCCAGACUCCUACGGGAGGCAGCAGUGGGGAAUCUUGCACAAUGGGCGAAAGCCUGAUGCAGCGACGCCGCGUGGGGGAUGAA